AAUGGAAGAGUGUAAUCAGCUGAACGAGAAUAAUACUCUUAGCCUAGGGGGGAUUUCUUUACGCAACUCAAGUUUUUGCACCAAAUUCUUCAGUAUAUGGGGGAGCGAGUAGCAGCUUAAGCGUGAGUAAUUAACAGACCAGAGAAGGUACGGGAAGUUCUUAGAGUGAUGUUGGAUUCCAAAGCUAACGUCGUAUUUCUGCAAGAAUCAAAGCUUUUAACGUUGAAGGCAAUAUUAUUUCAUCAGCUUCGAUGAGGCACCUUGUCGAGUUCAUUCAAGAUAAUAGCUUUGUCGAUCUUCCUCUUGCUGGAGGACCGUUUACCUGGUGGAAAGGAUUCUUCGGUGAGUUCGGGUCCCCGUCCGUUCAAGUGGUUCAACAGCUGAGCAAAUGAUCAAGGAUAUGUUAAUCUUGUUAAAAGAUUGUUCGUGUUCGUUAGAAAAGAUUGAAAGCUAGAAAUC